UGCAGUCGAACGGGCAUAGCAAUAUGUCAGUGGCAGACGGGUGAGUAACGCGUGGGAAUCUACCGUACCCUACGGAAUAACGCAUGGAAACGUGUGCUAAUACCGUAUACGCCCUUCGGGGGAAAGAUUUAUCGGGGUAUGAUGAGCCCGCGUUGGAUUAGCUAGUUGGUGGGGUAAAGGCCUACCAAGGCGACGAUCCAUAGCUGGUCUGAGAGGAUGAUCAGCCACAUUGGGACUGAGACACGGCCCAAACUCCUACGGGAGGCAGCAGUGGGGAAUAUUGGACAAUGGGCGCAAGCCUGAUCCAGCCAUGCCGCGUGAGUGAUGAAGGCCCUAGGGUUGUAAAGCUCUUUCACCGGAGAAGAUAAUGACGGUAUCCGGAGAAGAAGCCCCGGCUAACUUCGUGCCAGCAGCCGCGGUAAUACGAAGGGGGCUAGCGUUGUUCGGAAUUACUGGGCGUAAAGCGCACGUAGGCGGAUAUUUAAGUCAGGGGUGAAAUCCCAGAGCUCAACUCUGGAACUGCCUUUGAUACUGGGUAUCUCGAGUAUGGAAGAGGUAAGUGGAAUUCCGAGUGUAGAGGUGAAAUUCGUAGAUAUUCGGAGGAACACCAGUGGCGAAGGCGGCUUACUGGUCCAUUACUGACGCUGAGGUGCGAAAGCGUGGGGAGCAACAGGAUUAGAUACCCUGGUAGUCCACGCCGUAAACGAUGAAUGUUAGCCGUCGGCAUGCAUGCAUGUCGGUGGCGCAGCUAACGCAUUAAACAUUCCGCCUGGGGAGUACGGUCGCAAGAUUAAAACUCAAAGGAA
rnacentral:rRNA from 1 species